rnacentral:tRNA from 1 species
GUCUGCAUGGCUCAGUUGGUUAGAGCGCCGGUCUCAUACGUUCGUAUGAACCUCCCUUGCGAGGUGUAAUCCGGAGAUCGCCAGUUCGAUCCUGGCUGCGGACA